AGUCGAGCGGUAGCACGGGGAGCUUGCUCCUGGGUGACGAGCGGCGGACGGGUGAGUAAUGUCUGGGGAUCUGCCUGAUGGAGGGGGAUAACUACUGGAAACGGUAGCUAAUACCGCAUAACGUCGCAAGACCAAAGAGGGGGACCUUCGGGCCUCUUGCCAUCAGAUGAACCCAGAUGGGAUUAGCUAGUAGGUGGGGUAAUGGCUCACCUAGGCGACGAUCCCUAGCUGGUCUGAGAGGAUGACCAGCCACACUGGAACUGAGACACGGUCCAGACUCCUACGGGAGGCAGCAGUGGGGAAUAUUGCACAAUGGGCGCAAGCCUGAUGCAGCCAUGCCGCGUGUAUGAAGAAGGCCUUCGGGUUGUAAAGUACUUUCAGCGAGGAGGAAGGCAUUAAGGUUAAUAACCUUGGUGAUUGACGUUACUCGCAGAAGAAGCACCGGCUAACUCCGUGCCAGCAGCCGCGGUAAUACGGAGGGUGCAAGCGUUAAUCGGAAUUACUGGGCGUAAAGCGCACGCAGGCGGUUUGUUAAGUCGGAUGUGAAAUCCCCGGGCUCAACCUGGGAACUGCAUUCGAAACUGGCAAGCUUGAGUCUUGUAGAGGGGGGUAGAAUUCCAGGUGUAGCGGUGAAAUGCGUAGAGAUCUGGAGGAAUACCGGUGGCGAAGGCGGCCCCCUGGACAAAGACUGACGCUCAGGUGCGAAAGC
rnacentral:rRNA from 1 species